GGUAAACCUGUUUAAACAUUACACUUGAUUAUCUUAAUAGUUUGUAUAGGUAUGUAUUCUUUGGCAAAAAACUGAAGUGCUUGAUUAAAUACAAUUCUGUGUCAAAAUCUUUUAUAUUACAUGCAAAUGAAUUCAUUACAAUAAGCUUAUUAAACAAAUACACUCACUCCAUAUUUUUUGAUUGGCAAAUUUUAGUAUUAGCUAAUAAACUAACUAUGAGAUUUUUUUUAAAAAAAUUCUGAUCUGUCUGGUAACAAUCCAUUAGUUCUACUCUUGCUACCACAAUUUUGUUAAUAUCAUAGUUUUCCAAAAUCCUCAAACCAAGACAAUUAUGGCAUAAUUGUACACUCUUAAAUGUGAUUAUAACGAACCUCUCUUCAGGAGAAAUUCACUAUGUCAAUUAAAAAAAAAGACUAACAAAUUGUCUAAUAGCAGCUGCUGCUGUUACAAGUAAAAUUUAUCCCAUCUAUUUGUACCUGUCUAAGAGUUAAGCAUGAUGUUUAAGAUAGACAGGUAUCUCUGCAAUCAAUGGACAGAGCUACAUAGCUCUGGGGGACAAUUCAGCUUUCACAAACAUAAGUGUCUGUCCCUCUCUUCACUGUAUAUAAAGGCAGCUUUCAUGACCAUAUUGUCUUAGAUUUCAUGCAGAUUCAGAUAGAUGAAACUCACUAAAGACAGGGCAAUUUCUGGCUACCUUAUAGAUAAAAACCUUCUUAUUUUCAGGUAUUAAGGGAUCAGACCAAAGAGAUUCUGUAACCUGUGACAUAAACAGUUUCAUUUUCCAAUAUUGCCUAUAUUUUGAUAGUGGAAUUCUGUCCAAGUUGUAAGUCACUUACCUUUCCAGCUACACAUGUUGGAUCAGUUAACUGUUUUUGGUGAUGACAUAGGACAAUCAUACUGUUUGCUAUCUAAUGCCACAUUCUAAUAUUCUAGUGCUGUAUAUCACACAGGUCUUCAUUAAUGCAUCUGAACUUCACGAGCAAUGAAUGCUUAUUACAGGGAGCUACGCCACUCUGAACUGCAAAAAGCCCCCUUUCUUCUUCUUCACCCCAGAGGAACCGUAGCAUGCGCUCACAGUGAAAUGACCGAGUAGCUAGAGUGGUAGUGAAAUGAAGGCUUUUUACCCUAAAGCUGUUGUAUGAAAUGACACCAUUCAUCCAAAUGCAACAAAUCUCAGGAAAGAAAAGAUUACCAGUGACACCAGUAAAUACCCUGAAGAAAGAACCCAAAUAGACUGUGUGUCUGUCUCUUUGUGGGGGAGACAGGCCACCCACAUAAGCUUGUCUCCUAUGAUCAUAUAUUGACCUAUAGCAUACCAUAAAAUCUUUCCUUCACUAAGUCAGGUUUUUUUGAUGCGAGGUGCCUAAAAGUGAUGUAAGUUAACCCGCAUUUAGCUAGCAGCGUGCUGUUUUCUUAGUUGCAUUUUGCUCAGGUCUCCACUGAAUUACCGGGAGCACUGCUUUGCAACCUAUGAAUUUCAGGCCAGUUUUUCUUAAGUAUCUAUCUCUAGGUCCCAGAAUGAACAUUUUGGCCUUGUGGCAAAAAAUGGAUUUAAAGAUAUUUCUAUGCAAGGAAAAGAGGACUGAGUUACAGUGUUAAUUUCUUUUUAAUUGCUAUGUUUCUGAAUCCUGUCUACUUGCUUGCAGAGUUUUCUGAAUAUUUCAGUGCUGUGCCUUUGAUCUUUGUUACACAUUUUUAGGUGCCUUCAAGAUGCAAAAUCUGAGUAUUUUCCCCAAAAUCACCUCACAUUUUCUGGCAAAAAGCUCUGUUAAGUGCUGCAUGUGUCUAGAGGUGCCGCUCUCUGAGCUCAGUUGAACAGUGAGGUGUCUGGCCCCAAGCUAAUCAUGUUAUAGAUCCACAGACAACCAACCUCUCCUUGAGCCUAAAAUCCAGGCCUCUCAGACUGAGGCCCAUGUGUGAAGUAGACGGAGGAAUUUCUGAGCUAAAUUUACCGCGUCAAAAAUGUGUCUUUGUCGUCUUUGUAUCCUUGUAAAAUAGUUCUUCAUAUGUGAAAAGCAAACACCGGUAACACCCUUAAGUAAAUACCUUUA